rnacentral:rRNA from 1 species
UGUCCAGACUCCUACGGGAGGCAGCAGUCGGGAAUAUUGCGCAAUGGAGGAAACUCUGACGCAGUGACGCCGCGUAUAGGAAGAAGUUUUUCGGAAUGUAAACUACUGUCGUUAGGGAAGAGAAAGGACAGUACCUAAGGAGGAAGCCCCGGCUAACUACGUGCCAGCAGCCGCGGUAAUACGUAGGGGGCAAGCGUUAUCCGGAUUUACUGGGUGUAAAGGGGGCGCAGACGGCGAUGCAAGCCAGGAGUGAAAGCCCGGGGCCCAACCCCGGGACUGCUCUUGGAACUGCGUGGCUGGAGUGCAGGAGGGGCAGGCGGAAUUCCUGGUGUAGCGGUGAAAUGCGUAGAUAUCAGGAGGAACACCGGUGGCGAAGGCGGCCUGCUGGACUGCAACUGACGUUGAGGCCCGAAAGCGUGGGGAGCAAACAGGAUUAGAUACCCCAGUAA